AAAAUUUGAAAGUUGCCAAUGAUUGUACCAAACAUCCCUUUGUGUCUUACUCUGCGGAAAAUUUGUCCUUUGUGUUUUCUGUCAACCGUCAGGGAGAGUGUGUGCAAGUCAGUCACUCUGGGUCUUUUAGGGACUUUAGACGGCAAACGUUUGGGCUCCUCCACACUUGAGUGGAAGCAGGAAAGUACCAAAGUGGCCUGGCGUGUAAGUCGAACCGUCAGGAGAUUUUUUUCCUUGUUAUGCUUCUUGGCACAUGACGGUCGAGAGAGCUCGGGAACAAUGGCCGCCUUUGAUGACACCCCACUGACACUUAACGUCCGCACCGCUCUGAGGCCUUAUAGAUUUCCAGUGAACCACCGAGACGCACCUGAGACUAUUGACCGGGCAGCGCGCGCGCCUCCCCCGCCCCGGUUGAUGCCGACGGUCAUGACCAUGAACGGUGACGGCCGCUCGCUCUCCGCCGCGCCGCUGGACCUGAGCACCGGUCAGCGGGGGAACACGUUGUCCGCAGCGGAACCAGAAUGUGGAACUCGCCGGAAGGAGACCGUCCGCUCACCUGCGACGCCGACGCCUCCGCUCACUUGCGGCACAUUCGCUCCGGCACCGGGCUGCCUUCGCAAGAAGCCGGCCGACAAAGCUUCCCUCCGGCUUCCUUUUCGGAAGCGACCGAUCGCUGUGGAGCCGGAGGAGCGAGCGUCAGUAGAAGCGGGGCCGGCGAGGUGUCUUUUCCGGACUGGAGAGGCUGCUGAUCCGCCGCCGCGAACGAGGACAGCCGAGGGUCGGCUUGCCGUUGCUCGGGUAACCCGGACGCACAGUGAGGAGGCUCCGCACACUUUUGAAGUUCGUCCGGUCCACGCCGUGCCCCCGUUGACUUAUGGUCACUACACGACGUACGCCUACCCAGAGUUGGGCCAUCUCGGCUUCCACCACACACAGUACCUGCUGACCAGCGUCGCGCUGGCCACUCGGCAAGAUGAAGACGGAGACACAGCUUUGCACAUAGCGGUGGUGAAAGGAGAACUGGCCAUCGUGCGACAACUUGUGCAUCUGCUGCAGCGCGCUGGCAAAAGCCUCGACAUCUACAACAACCUCCGACAGACUCCCCUUCACCUGGCAGUGAUCACUCAGCAAGCCAACAUGGCGGAGGCGCUGCUGAGGGCCGGCUCAGACCCCUCGGCGUUGGACCGCAACGGCCAGACGGCGUUGCACCUCUGCUGCGAAUACGACAAUCCCGCGUGUCUCUCCGUGGUGCUCUCGCUGCCCUCGUCUGCCGCUUGCCUGGAGAUGAAAAACUUUCAGGGUUUGAGCCCCCUCCACGUGACCGUACUACACGGACACCGAGACUUAGCCGCCAUGCUGCUGGCAGCGGGAGCUGACGUCAACACCAUGGACAUCAAGAGUGGCCAGACUCCCCUCAUUCUCGCGGUGGAGAGCAACAAUGCGGAGAUGGUCCGCUUCCUCAUUGAGAGCGGCUGUGAUGUGAACAGGCCGUCAUACGGCAGCAACACGGCCCUGCACAGCGCCUGUGCACGGGGCCAAGCGGACGUUGUGAGGGCGCUGCUGAAGAACGGCGCCGACAGCACCCUCAAGAACUACCACAACGACACGCCUGUCAUGUUGGCCAAGAGCAAAAAGAUAGCAGACAUCUUACGAGGUAGGGGCUCAAAACCCAUACGAAUUCCAGAUCAACGCGACGACAUGUCAGCGUCGCCGCACGGCAGCAACUUGAUGAGCAUCGGUUCCCCAUCUCCAAGCCACAGUGGAGAGUGUUCUCCCUCGAUGGCACCACCCAUCCCACCCUCCGCUGACCCCCACUCACCAAGGCCCGCGCCAAUGCUGGCCUUACCAUUUUACUAGCACAGAGUCCUCGUGCACCGAAACUGCUAAUUACGUUAUCCUUUUGAGCGUCAAACCACCAGGCAAAAUAACCAAACUUGGAUUCGGGGAUGCAGUCAACAAAAAAGGGCAGCGCCUUUGCACACAGAAUUUAUCGAGUGGAAAAAAAAAACCCUACAGUGAACAGCGGGUCCUCAGUUUCAGACGGCGUCGGUUCCUACGCUAAAGUACAGGUUAAGUUAUCAUGAAGGUGCCACGUGACCGCCUACAACAGAACUAAGUGGGCACCUCGUGCAAGUUUGUUUUAUCGUAACCUGUAGAGACUGUUGAGGACACAUGCAUUGUGUUGCUUUUUACUUGCGGGUUCACUUCGAUAAGACAACUCGUUGUAAGAGUAGAUGCUCUUUUACUUCAGGAUGAAAGCGGUUAUAGGAGAGGGGAGACAAGAACACCACCACCUGUAAAGUCGUGGGCUUCUGCCAGAACUCCCCAGACCUUCCAUGCAUUACAUUGCAUUCGUUUUUUAAAGUUUUUUUUUUUUUACAUAAGCUACUCACAAAAAGUUGGGAUUUUUUUUUCCUCCAGUGACAAUUCAAGAUGAACCCAAAUUGCAUUGUAACCUUCACAGGUGACCUUCAUUUGACCUUUUGAAUGGCCAACUGUUCAGUCUUUCAGUGCGUUUUGUACAACUUGCUCUUCGACAACAGCGAUCUGCACAGCAAAACCUUGAUGCGACUUUUCCAGUUUCACUGUAUCUCAGUUGUCCAAUAUCCCUAACUUUUUGUGAGUCUUGUCUGUUGAGUGUGUGUUAUUCUGCUUUUGUUAAAAAUAAGUCAUAAAAAGUAUGUAUUUUUUCAAAAAAUAAAUGCAAUUGUGACUAGUGUUUUUUGGGGGGGCUCUACAGUACAUUUAUUCAUAUUAAUACUUAGUAAUGUCAUUCACGUUUGCUUUUUCUGAAAUGAAUUGAAAUUAUAAAUUAUUAUUAAAAUAAUUUAACCCUGGAGAACCCAAGAACCUUUUUCUUCUUUGGAAAAUGAUAAAUUAUACAUUAAAUGACUGCUAUAUGGUCACUGAACACCAAAAUAUAUGUUUUUUCAAAUAUUCAAUGCUUUCAUUCUAAUUUAGGCUUUGGGCCAAAUCUGACCCUCCAGGAUUUAUGGGUAGCAUUUGAGUAGCAGAAUUUAUUGGGGCCAAAUUUAACCCCGUGGGUUCUCCAGGGUUAAAUAAAAUCCAUCAAUUUUCCGAUUUGCUUUAUAAUCCUCACAAGGGUCGCGGGGGCAUGCUGCAGUCAAUGGAGUUCCUAGAUUUAAAAGAAGCAGCAAUCUGAUUGGUCAAUUGCUGGACCGCCUCCAUGGAGUUGACCGACCAAUCAUAAGGUGAGCGCGCGGCCAUGUUGAAUUAUUAUUCAUUUGAAAGCGAGACAACAAAAGAAGUGUUAUUAUAUUACAACAGCAGAGGAUUUCUCGAAAUGACGACAUUACUGUCAGAUAUAUAUAUCUAUAUAUCGCGUUAAAGAGAUUACCAACCAAAGGCUACAUUGGAUAGAUAUAGCAAUUUCAAGGUAACCUGGACUUUGGCCAGUUCUAAAGUACUCUCCAAAAGUAGCAUCCAGGUGGAAAAAACACGAACUCAAAACUAAACUGAAUGUUCAUGUAGCAUUCAUCGCACACUCCAGUCUUGAUCACACCAACAAACAGUGUUGCUAUUCUGAUAAUGAAGAGGACCUUUUGAUAAACGCCAUACAAAAUAAUAAU